rnacentral:lncRNA from 1 species
GUGAAGGCUGUGUGGCCCGUGCCUCUCUCCAGGGUCAGCUCCUCUUUUAGUGUCCUUAGCAGUCUCCCCUGGAGAACACUGUGAUGUCCUGUGUGCUAAAAAGAAGGCUGCCCUUUUUGCUGAGAUCUGCCUGGACCCCCAAGAUGAAUCUGCCACUUUUUGUCUGUAAUUCUCUAGAAUUUUUAAUAAGUUGGGCUCUCACAGGCCACGUUUACUUCCACAAAGCUUAAGUCAAGAAAUGACGUUCCUCCAUCAACCUGCACAGGUUUCAAGCCAGAAGCGGGCUGAGGUCGCCUCUUCUCUGCUCAGUGUCCUGAUCAGAAUAAUAAUGCUGUCGUCCCUCUACUCACAGAUCAUCUCAGAAGAGCUGUGGAAGCUGUAGGUGGAAGAAAGUGUCCCGUGGCUCGCCGGUUGUGAGCACUCAGGAGCUGCCGCGCAUCAGCAGCCGUGUUUCAUAGCCGCGUCGCCUCUGCGUUCACAGGCAGUGAACUAGAGAGCUCAGGGGAAACAGCACAGGUCCC